UCCUGCUGCAUGGUGGGGGUUGGAAAGUUUCGGCGGUUGGGGAUGGACUCGCGGCCUAUCAGCUUGUUGUGGGGUAGUGGCUUACCAAGGCUUUGACGGGUAGCCGGCCUGAGAGGGCGACCGGCCACAUUGGGACUGAGAUACGGCCCAGGCUCCUACGGGAGGCAGCAGUGGGGAAUAUUGCACAAUGGGCGGAAGCCUGAUGCAGCAACGCCGCGUGCGGGAUGACGGCCUUCGGGUUGUAAACCGCUUUCGCCUGUGACGAAGCGUGAGUGACGGUAAUGGGUAAAGAAGCACCGGCUAACUACGUG
rnacentral:rRNA from 1 species